AUGCAAAGUCGUCUAAUUCUAGUGGCGUUCAUAUUUGCUAUUGAAGGUUGGCAACAGCAAAAAACACAAUUUUCCGUGCCUAUCAAAUCUCUUAAUUUUGAACAAGGCCUCGGAAUAAGUUGAUGUGUU